GACGAACGCUGGCGGCGUGCUUAACACAUGCAAGUCGAACGGUAAGGCCCUUUCGGGGGUACGACGAGUGGCGAACGGGUGAGUAACACGUGAGCAACCUGCCCUUGACUCUGGAAUAACAGUUGGAAACAGCUGCUAAUACCGGAUAUGACCUCUUCCGACAUCGGUCGAGGUGGAAAGCUCCGGCGGUCAAGGAUGGGCUCGCGGCCUAUCAGCUUGUUGGUGAGGUAACGGCUCACCAAGGCUUCGACGGGUAGCCGGCCUGAGAGGGCGACCGGCCACACUGGGACUGAGAUACGGCCCAGACUCCUACGGGAGGCAGCAGUGGGGAAUAUUGCACAAUGGGCGCAAGCCUGAUGCAGCAACGCCGCGUGCGGGAUGACGGCCUGGUGUAACG
rnacentral:rRNA from 1 species